rnacentral:sRNA from 1 species
AGGAGGAAGGACAUGGUGUUCCGGGCACUCUGACUAUAGGGAUUUUAUAUGCUGUGUCAUGGAGGGACAGCAGUCAGACCCCUCCCCCAUGUCUUAUCUGUAGACUUGACCACAUCGUGAUGACGGUGAAGAGCAUCAAAGACACCACCAUGUUUUAUUCCAAGAUCCUGGGCAUGGAGGUCAUGACUUUUAAGUAGGACGACCGGAAAGCACUGUGUUUUGGAGACCAGAAAUUUAACCUCCACGAGGUGGGAAAGGAAUUUGAACCCAAAGCCGCUCACCCAGUUCCUGGCUCCCUGGACAUAUGUCUGAUCACAGAGGUGCCUUUGGAGGAAAUGAUCCAGCACCUCAAGGCUUGUGAUGUCCCUAUUGAGGAGGGGCCAGUCCCCAGAACAGGGGCAAAAGGGCCUAUUAUGUCCAUCUACUUCCGAGACCCCGACAGAAAUCUGAUUGAGGUGUCCAACUACAUCUCCUCGUGAUGGAGGCUGGACCUCCUCCAUUCUGUCCCCCUUGAUGUCGCCCUCUCCUUUCCUUCCUGCAAACCCCCACCCAGGCCCAGAGAUCUCCAAAGACUGAGGACUUAGGCACUUCACACAUCCUGCUGAGGGGGGACCCAAGACAGGUUUGGGACCAAACCUACACGUCUGUAUGUCAUCAAAGCUGGCCUAAUAAAUGCAUAACCUCUCAAUAAA